rnacentral:ncRNA from 1 species
GUAAUACUGUGACAGCGAUGCAGCUUCGUACGAGACGAUUAGUUCGUGGAGCAAUUGGUGGACAAAUCGGCGUUGCGAAGUUAAGUAUGUUGGAUAAUGGCCGAACGCCUCUUAAGACCGAACAAGAACCCACGUUCAUUAAACAAUAUUAUUGUGAUAUUUUUUGUAACAAAUUUUUUACCGUCAAUGUGAAAGAGAAAUUAUAUGUGCAGCCUGUGUAACAACCAACAAGUGCACUAUUAAUCCCAUUAACAUAGUACUACUUUUGUGUCUUUUCUUCGAAAUCUGCGCAAAAAGAAAGUUAAAAUUGCAUUUUAACAACACGAAAGAUUUUGUGUGUUUUUGUAGACGACUAAUAUCAUCUCGGGGUGCUGUAAACAUUAAAGUAAACUUUGUUUUACCAUCUGUUAUGGCUUAUUCUCAUUGAUAUAAGAAA